rnacentral:rRNA from 1 species
UCCCGUCACGAUAGAUCCUAGGCAUUAAUAGAUGAAGAAGGACGCAGCAAACGGCGAAACGCGUUGGGGAGUGGUAAGCACACGAUGAUCCAGCGAUAUCCGAAUGGGGAAACCCGGCACCCGUAAUGGGGUGUCACCCAUGGAUGAAUCCAUAGUCCAUGAGGGAGCAACCUUGCGAAUUGAAACAUCUUAGUAGCAAGAGGAAGAGAAAAUAACAAUGAUUCCCUUAGUAGCGGCGAGCGAAGCGGGAAGAGCCCAAACCGACAAUAGUCGGGGUAGUAGGACCACGAUGUAGUAGACUCAGCGUUAACCUAACGACUUGGAAAAGUCGGCCAAAGAAGGUGAAAGCCCUGUUGGUGAAAACAAAGAGCGCUUAGUGGAAUCCUGAGUACGGCGAGGCACGAGAAACCUUGUCGGAAUCAACCGGGACCACCCGGUAAGGCUAAAUACUCAUUAAUGACCGAUAGUGAACCAGUACCGUGAGGGAAAGGUGAAAAGAACCGCGGGAGCGGAGUGAAAUAGAACCUGAAACCGUAUGCUUACAAUAAGUCAGAGCCCGUUAAUGGGUGAUGGCGUGCCUUUUGUAGAAUGAACCGGCGAGUUACCAUGUCGUGCGAGGUUAAGUUGAAGAGACGGAGCCGAAGCGAAAGCGAGUCUGAAUAGGGCUAAAGUACGAUGCGGUAGACCCGAAACCAGGUGAUCUAGCCAUGAUCAGGUUGAAGUUUGGGUGAAACCAAAUGGAGGACCGAACCGACCCCCGUUGAAAAGGUGGCGGAUGAAUUGUGGCUAGGGGAGAAAUUCCAAUCGAACCUGGAUAUAGCUGGUUCUCCCCGAAAUAGCUUUAGGGCUAGCGUUGAGGAAGAGCGCUGUGGAGGUAGAGCACUGAAUGUAAGAUGGCCCCGUCUAGGGGUACUGAUUACAAUCAAACUCCGAAUGCCAUAGUUGUAUACUCAGCAGUCAGACUACGGGUGAUAAGGUCCGUGGUCGAAAGGGAAACAGCCCAGACCAUCAGUUAAGGUCCCAAAAUUCAUGCUAAGUGGAAAAGGAUGUGGGGAUGCACAGACAACUAGGAGGUUGGCUUAGAAGCAGCCACCCUUGAAAGAGUGCGUAACAGCUCACUAGUCGAGUGACCCUGCGCCGAAAAUUUACCGGGGCUAAGCAUGAUACCGAAACUAUGGAUUUUAGAGAAAUCUAAAGUGGUAGGGGAGCGUUCUAUACGCGUCGAAGGUAUACCGUAAGGAGUGCUGGAGUGUAUAGAAGUGAGAAUGCCGGUGUGAGUAGCGAAAUGACAGUGAGAAUCUGUCACACCGAUUGACCAAGGUUUCCAGGGGAAGGUUCGUCCGCCCUGGGUAAGUCGGGACCUAAGAUGAGGCUGACAAGCGUAGUCGAUGGACAACAGGUUGAUAUUCCUGUACCCGCAUGCAAGUGAAGGAGUGACAAAGAAGGAUACAACAAGCCCACGGAUGGAAGAGUGGGUCAAAGCGAGGUAGCAGAACGAUAGGCAAAUCCGUCGUUCAAUGCAAAGGCGUGAUUGGGAGUGAACGGGUGACCUAGUAGCGAAGUGUUGGAUUCCAGCUUUCAAGAAAAGCUUCUAGCGAUAAUUGCAUCGCGGCCCGUACCAAAACCGACACAGGUGGUCAAGGAGAGAAUCCUGAGGUGAGCGAGAGAACUGUUGCCAAGGAACUCGGCAAAAUGACUCCGUAAGUUAGCGAGAAGGAGUGCUCUUUAAAAGAGAGCCGCAGUGAAGAGGCCCAAGCGACUGUUUAACUAAAACAUAGCUCUCUGCGAAGUCGCAAGACGAAGUAUAGGGGGUGACGCCUGCCCGGUGCUGGAAGGUUAAGAGGAGGGGUUAGCCGCAAGGCGAAGCUUUGAAUUGAAGCCCCAGUGAACGGCGGCCGUAACUAUAACGGUCCUAAGGUAGCGAAAUUCCUUGUCGGGUAAGUUCCGACCCGCACGAAAGGCGUAACGAUUUGGGCGCUGUCUCGGCAGCAGACUCGGUGAAAUCUUAGUACCUGUGAAGAUGCAGGUUACCCGCAACUAGACGGAAAGACCCCAUGGAGCUUUACUGUAGCUUGAUAUUGAAUUUUGAGCCAGCAUGUACAGGAUAGGUGGGAGACGAAGAUAUGGGCACGCCAGUGUCCAAGGAGUCACCCUUGGGAUACCACCCUUGCUUGUUUGGAAUUCUAACUGACACCCAUAAUCUGGGUGCAGGACCGUGUCAGGUGGGCAGUUUGACUGGGGCGGUCGCCUCCUAAAGAGUAACGGAGGCGCUCAAAGGUACCCUCAGAUUGGUUGGAAAUCAAUCGUCGAGUGCAAAGGCAUAAGGGUGCUUGACUGCGAGACUUACAAGUCGAGCAGGAACGAAAGUUGGACUUAGUGAUCCGGCGGUUUCCGAGUGGAAGGGCCGUCGCUUAACGGAUAAAAGCUACCCUGGGGAUAACAGGCUAAUCUCGCCCAAGAGUUCACAUCGACGGCGAGGUUUGGCACCUCGAUGUCGGCUCAUCGCAUCCUGGAGCUGAAUUCGGUUCCAAGGGUUGGGCUGUCCGCCCAUUAAAGCGGUACGCGAGCUGGGUUCAGAACGUCGUGAGACAGUUCGGUCCCUAUCUGUUGUGGGCGUAGGAAAUUUGAGGAGUGCUGACCUUAGUACGAGAGGACCGGGUUGGACAUACCGCUGGUGCACCAGUUGUUUCGCCAGAAGCAUAGCUGGGUAGCUAAGUAUGGAUCAGAUAAGCGCUGAAAGCAUCUAAGUGCGAAACUGACUCCAAGAUGAGAUUUCCCAUACGUAAGUAGUAAGACCCCUGAAAGACGAUCAGGUUGAUAGGUCAGAGAUGGAAGCAUGGUGACAUGUGCAGUUGACUGAUACUAAUAGGUCGAGGUUUUAAUC